CUCCUCCGCGAACCCCGGUGAUGCUGGAAGGCUGGGUCCGCGGGCGGGGGAAGGUGUCCUAGCGGCCCGAGCCUGCGCUCCGGAUUCUCAGGCCCAUCCUGUGGUAGGCCGUCCCAGGCAGGAGUUGCCUCGGAGGAUUUGGCAGCCACGACAUCCCAUCCUAGCCCCGCGAUGUGCGGGUGAGGAGGAGACUCCUGGCAUAAGCUGGAAGCCACCCAACUGUUCCCUGCGAGGCGACACCGAUGCCUGCCCAGCCCCCUACCCCCGUCCCUCGCGCCAGCCCCCUGCCUUGGCAGCAGUCACUGCCCAGCCCCGUCCACUCCCACCGCCCAC
rnacentral:lncRNA from 1 species